CCAAUUAAAUCUGAACAGGCGGUGAACUCUUAGAGGUUCAUGCGGCCGGAUCACACAUGUGUGAUAGCAGAGUAGUGCCAAAAAGGCACACCUGUGGGACAGUA
rnacentral:ncRNA from 22 species